rnacentral:rRNA from 1 species
UACGUAGGGGGCAAGCGUUGUCCGGAUUUAUUGGGCGUAAAGAGCGUGUAGGCGGCCAGAUAGGUCCGUUGUGAAAACUCGAGGCUCAACCUCGAGACGCCGAUGGAAACCAUUUGGCUAGAGUCCGGAAGAGGAGAGUGGAAUUCCUGGUGUAGCGGUGAAAUGCGCAGAUAUCAGGAGGAACACCGGUGGCGAAGGCGGGUCUCUGGGCAGUAACUGACGCUGAGGAGCGAAAGCGUGGGGAGCAAACAGG